rnacentral:lncRNA from 1 species
GAUUAAAGGCGUGUGCCACCACGCCCGGCUUAUGUUAGCAAUUCUUAAUACCUGCUUAGCAUAGCACUUUCUAAAGGAUAUUUUUCUGAUGGGAAAGAUCACAAUUAGGGUGGGGAAGUCCAAGUGUAUUUAAAGGUAUUUAAAUGUAUUAGAAUAUUUGAUUAUCAGCUAGCUGGGAAGAUAAUGUCCUAUAACAUAAUGAAGCAAUGGACUUAUGUCCGCAGAAACAAUGAGAAAGUGAGGCUGUGGGAGGCUCAUACACUCAGAGCUGUCUGUUCAGCCCGCCUCUCUGUCCCCUUGAAUAUCAGUCACUAGAUUGAAGUAGCAGUGGCCUGGAGAAUAGGCUUGGAAUUCUGGGCCUGAGACCAGCUUGGCAAGGGCAGAUUUCUGACUUAUUCAGAUUCCUAGUCUAGACAAGACAGAGGGUCCCUGAAAGAGUGUCUGCAUAAGGUAAAGUAAUUGCUCCAACUGCCACAUAAAUGACGUUUCCUUUCCAGUAAAAUUGCUGUUCUCUGAUCUGUGAUCACAACCUUUUGCUCAGAUUUCUUUUCUGUUUCAGAUUCUGUUAGAUGGAUCCAUGUCUGGCUCAUGGUAGAAUUCCAAAAGUACUUUGGAAAUUUAAUACUAGUUGAUACUAAAGAUGACAUCUUUCAACUAGACUUUAUAGUACAGACCUGAUACCUGUGUGCUUUAGGGCCAUUGUUUCGACAGUACGAGCAAGAUGGCAUUAACAGGUACAGUUAAGAGCAUAGUCUGCACACCCUACUUGUUCCUGUUCAGUCACAGCUCUGCCACAGCGGCACUGUGAGCAUAGGCAGAUUUGCUUGACAUUAUCUGUACCUCUGGCUUCCCAUAUAUAAAGUUGAAAUGAAUGGUGGUAAUAGUUCAUACCCGUAGAGAAGUUGUUUGAUGAGUUGAUCUAAGCCGGGUAUAGUGAUGCACGCCUUUAAUCCUAGCACCUUGCCUGGCAGAGGCAGGCAGAUCUCUGUGAGUUCAAGGCCAACAUGGUCUACAGAGUGAGUUCCAGGACAGCCAGAGCUACAUAGUAAGACCCUGUCUGCAAAAGAUUACAUAUUAUGGUUCUGUACAUGGUAAUAACUGUUUUUUAAGGUUCAGCUGUUCUAGUUGUUACAGCUUCUGCUCUGAGAGGUUUCCAGAAGUCACAUGGCCAGGCAAGGUGGUAUAGGGCUGUAAUCCCAGUACACAGGAAGCUGAGGCAGGAGGAUUUAUAGUUCCAGAGCAGCCUAGGCUACAUGAUCAGACCCUGUCUCAUAAAGAGCUGGGGCUAAUAUGCUCAGUGGAGGCCCUUGCCUACGAUAGUGCACCUAGCCUUCAGUCACUGCAAAAACAAACAAAUAGAGAUACAAUGCAUGUCUGUGGCUGCCACUAUUCUUAAUUAGGUUGAGAACUGCAAAUAAUUCUACUUUAUAUUUUAAUGUUAAAGUACAGUUUAUGACCCAUUCAUGAAAUUUGUGUAAUAGACCACAACCAUUAGUGUUUAUUUUGUCUUUGUGGGUGAUCCUGUUCUGUGUCUUUUCUUGUUGAAAGUGUAAUGUUUUAAAGCUAUGCACAACACACAUUGUAUACUAAAUAACAACAUAAAAAGUGUUCUUCUGUGAGUUAGGGCCAUUGCUUAGGGGAGAAAGGCAAGAACUUACACAGACUGAAGGAUGAAUAUGGAAGGCAGGGCUGUAAAGUAAGCACAGCUGACUUCCCAGCCUGGGCUCAUUCUCUAUUGCUUUCCACUCAACAGCUCUGUGAGAUGACCACGGUACUUAUCUCCUCUUAGUGCCUGCUGAACUUAACGCUAAAUACCAUAUUGGACUUCAAAUAGUUUCACUUUUGUAGUCUUUCCACAUUAAGAAUCAAUCUCUCUCUCUCUCUCUCUCUCUCUCUCUCUCUCUCUCUCUCUCUUUCUCUCUCUCUCUCUC